UACGUAGGCAGCGAGCGUUGUUCGGAGUUACUGGGCGUAAAGGGUGUGUAGGCGGUUGUUUAAGUUUGGUGUGAAAUCUCCCGGCUCAACUGGGAGGGUGCGCCGAAUACUGAAUGACUUGGAGUGCGGGAGAGGUGAGUGGAAUUCCUGGUGUAGCGGUGAAAUGCGUAGAUAUCAGGAGGAACACCGGUGGUGUAGACGGCUCACUGGACCGUAACUGACGCUGAGACACGAAAGCGUGGGUAGCAAACAGGAUUA
rnacentral:rRNA from 1 species